UACGAAGGGGGCUAGCGUUGUUCGGAUUUACUGGGCGUAAAGCGCACGUAGGCGGCCUUGUAAGAUGGGGGUGAAAUCCCCGGGCUCAACCCGGGAACUGCCUUCAUGACUGCAAAGCUAGAGGAUGCGAGAGGUUAGCGGAAUUCCGAGUGUAGAGGUGAAAUUCGUAGAUAUUCGGAAGAACACCAGUGGCGAAGGCGGCUAACUGGCGCAUUUCUGACGCUGAGGUGAGAAAGCGUGGGGAGCAAACAGG
rnacentral:rRNA from 1 species